rnacentral:rRNA from 1 species
GCAAGUCGAGCGGUAACAGAUCUAGCUUGCUAGAUGCUGACGAGCGGCGGACGGGUGAGUAACGCGUAGGAACCUGCCCAGUAGUGGGGGAUAGCCCAGGGAAACUUGGAUUAAUACCGCAUACGCCCUACGGGGGAAAGCGGGGGAUCUUCGGACCUCGUGCUAUUAGAUGAGCCUGCGUAAGAUUAGCUUGUUGGUGAGGUAAGAGCUCACCAAGGCGACGAUCUUUAGCUGUUCUGAGAGGAUGAUC